rnacentral:rRNA from 1 species
CCCUUAGAUGUUCUGGGCUGCACGCGCGCUACACUGAAGCUAUCAACACGUUUUCCCUCCCUGAGAAGGGCGGGUAACCUUUUGAAUCAGCUUUGUGGUAGGGAUCGGGGCUUGCAAUUGUUCCCCGUGAACCAGGAAUUCCUAGUAGACGCGAGUCAUAAGCUCGCAUCGAUUAAGUCCCUGCCCUUUGUACACACCGCCCGUCGCUACUACCGAUUGAACGUUUUAGUGAGGCAUUUGGACCGACGCAUCUCAGUUUAACCGCUGGUUUGUGUUGGAAAGACUUCCAAACUUGAGCGUUUAGAGGAAGUAAAAGUCGUAACA